AACGAACGCUGGCGGCACGCCUAACACAUGCAAGUCGAACGAGACCUUCGGGUCUAGUGGCGCACGGGUGCGUAACGCGUGGGAAUCUGCCCUCUGGUUCGGAACAACAGUUGGAAACGACUGCUAAUACCGGAUAAUGACUUCGGUCCAAAGAUUUAUCGCCUGAGGAUGAGCCCGCGUAGGAUUAGCUUGUUGGUGAGGUAAAAGCUCACCAAGGCGACUAUCCUUAGCUGGUCUGAGAGGAUGAUCAGCCACACUGGGACUGAGACACGGCCCAGACUCCUACGGGAGGCAGCAGUGGGGAAUAUUGGACAAUGGGCGAAAGCCUGAUCCAGCAAUGCCGCGUGAGUGAUGAAGGCCUUAGGGUUGUAAAGCUCUUUUACCCGGGAUGAUAAUGACAGUACCGGGAGAAUAAGCCCCGGCUAACUCCGUGCCAGCAGCCGCGGUAAAAC
rnacentral:rRNA from 1 species